GCUUCCUACGGGGCGCAGCAGUGAGGAAUAUUGGUCAAUGGGCGAGAGCCUGAACCAGCCAAGUCGCGUGAGGGAAGACGGUCCUAUGGAUUGUAAACUUCUUUUGUCGGGGAACAAAGGCGGAGACGCGUCUCCGGAUGAGUGUACCCGAAGAAAAAGCAUCGGCUAACUCCGUGCCAGCAGCCGCGGUAAUACGGAGGAUGCGAGCGUUAUCCGGAUUUAUUGGGUUUAAAGGGUGCGCAGGCGGGAGAUCAAGGCAGCGGUAAAAUGUCGGGGCUCAACCCCGGGCGGCCGGUGCAACUGGG
rnacentral:rRNA from 1 species